UGGGGAAUAUUGCACAAUGGGCGAAAGCCUGAUGCAGCAACGCCGCGUGAGUGAUGACGGUCUUCGGAUUCUAAAGCUCUGUCUUUGGGGACGAUAAUGACGGUACCCAAGGAGGAAGCCACGGCUAACUACGUGCCAGCAGCCGCCGUAAUACGUAGGUGGCAAGCGUUGUCCGGAUUUACUGGGCGUAAAGGGUGCGUAGGCGGACCUUUAAGUGAGAUGUGAAAUCCCCGAGCUUAACUUGGGGGCUGCAUUUCAAACUGGAGGUCUAGAGUGCAGGAGAGGAGAGUGGAAUUCCUAGUGUAGCGGUGAAAUGCGUAGAGAUUAGGAAGAACACCAGUGGCGAAGGCGACUCUCUGGACUGUAACUGAUGCUGAGGCACGAAAGCGUGGGGAGCAAACAG
rnacentral:rRNA from 1 species